rnacentral:lncRNA from 1 species
CUGGACACAUAUAUAUAUAUCUUUUCAAGCACAUUUUCACAGGCAUUCUACAAUAUCAUUAGUUUCACAAAUAUCACUUUCACAGGGAUUCUACAAUAUCAUUAGUUUCAUAAAUAUCACUUUUGAUGGUGUAUUGUCCUUCAUCAACACUCCUGGUAAUAUCCAUAGUCACUUCAAGAUAAUGCAAAGCACCCAAAUCUUUGUUAGAACAAAACACAAAAUGUAUUUUAAAGUGUCAUCUCAGCAUCCAGUUUCUUGACUUAUUUAUUUUGGAACAAUCAGAGCUCCCUCUCCAUCUUCAUUAAGGGCACCAGGCUCUCCGCCACAGUGACUGAGGUAGUGAUGAAACCCUGACACAAUAUAAUACUCUGUACUCAUGUAGAACCUUUGUUUUUGGAUUUAGAGUGCCAGUGUAUCUCCUUGGAAGAAAUGUGGGGCCGGAUUCAUUAUGCAGUGACUUUCAUGAUAAUGGAGUAGCUACUCCACACUCUGGAAUGAAAAUGACUUGGAUAACAUCCCUUGGAACUGGUAAGACACCACACAGGCUGUGUUCUGGGGCGUGGGGUAGACAAACUUGUCUGGAAGAGGACAAUCUCACUCAGCUUCCUGGCAAACUCAAGGUGUCCCACGUUGCUGAGAGAAAACAGGACACAAGCUCCCGGGCACACGCUUAGCAGAUGUGGAGCCAGGACGAGGUGCUGGGCUGCCAAUAACGCUACACACACUUUUGACAGAAAAAGAGUGCCUUUCUAUUUUAAAUUUAAAGGUGUGCCAGCAUAACACACAGCCUCAUCUUGGCCUCUGCGCCCUGCACGCAGUUCACAAAGCCCACUGUUGGCCACAGGCACAGUAUCCUCAAAUGUUAAAAUGGCCUGAAUGACUAAAAAUAAAUAUAUUCUCUAAAACUGGAACAUGGAAAGUGUGUGGGAGGCAGUUUGCCCUUGAAGAUUUUGUGGAAGGACUUUAGGGGAUGUGGGCGGCAAGCCACCCAGGCACCAAGGCAAGAGACAGAGGACACGAGCUGUUCUAAUAUAAUAAAAUAUAAAACAAGAAUAGUUAUACCAG